rnacentral:lncRNA from 1 species
AGUAGAAUUACUGUUGGGAAGUAACUAUGGCAUUAAGGUCUUCCAAGAAGCAGAUGCCAAGAUGGGCUCAAAUGUGCAAGAUAUUUAUGGAAAACCACCUAUGAAGGACAAAGGAACAGAGAACAAGAGCCUUCCCCCAUGUCUAAUACCUGUGAAAGGAGAGAGAGAAGGAAGAAUUUAGUAGGAAGAGCCUGAGGUUGCUGCUUAGUUCUGAGAAAGCCUCAGCGAGGCCGAUGGAGAGCCCUUGAGCUGAGGUUGCCCAUUAGACAAAUUCUGCAUCAGGUAGUACUGGUUCUUUUCUAGUAACCUGGCCAUGCUCAGUCUUUGUGCAGGAGUAGCCCAGGAGAGCAUGGCCUGGGAUAAAUUCCUCAAUGAAUACAAAGUUGCAGCAGCUCAGCUAUGCUAGUCACAGCAGUUUCUUUUAAGGGAAAUCUGAGUAGAACACCUCCAUGGCUAUCACAGCCAACCCAGAUUGUGCAUUUGCUCAUGAACUAGAUAUGGCCACAUGAACAAUAGGUGAUAUUUCCCAGGAGACUCCUGGAGGUGCAAUGAGAUCUCUGCAGUAAGAGGUUGAAUGUGUACCUUUGGAUGUUCACAGAUGAGGGAAGGAAUCAUAAUUGGCUAACAAGAGGAGAUACAUUUGACUAUGUUAAGAGAACUGGAGGACCUCCACCAAGAUCUUGUGAUUGACAUCAUGUCUGGAUGCAGCUGCUUAUAAUCCACAGCCUCUGAAUAUAAAGACAGGUUAUGUCCCCGAAACACAAAAGAUACAAUGAUGAAGAGGAAUAAAACGACUACAACAAACACUUCCACUCAAAAAAGGGACAUAACAGAAGGGCCUUCAGAUAAGGUUCAAAUUGUCCAACAUGGUCUACAAAGCUCUCUACUGUUCCAGGAGCACUCAAGGGGGAAGGACAGGAAAUCCAGGUGCUGAUCAGAAACCCACAAAUAUCUGCCAGGCUGGCAACAGACCCUAAAGAGAGAGAUUAACAAAAAACAGUUGAGGAGCAAGCUAAAUUCCUACAGGCAAUAGUGGGACCAGAGCUCAUAGGCUGGCACCAAUAGUACAGUUUGGUCCCAAGGAGAAGCAGCAAGGCCAUGCAGGGAAUCACAUAAACAGAUCAGAAACUGAAGUUUGGCUUGCUGACGUGACUUGCUCAAGGUCACAUAGCUACGAAUUGUAGACCUAGAACUAAAAACAUCCUGGCUCCUUGUCUAGUUUUUAUUGCUCUAUCCCAGGUUGUCUAGCUUAACUAACUCUUGCUUCAUGGAGCUUGUAGGAAAGGAUGCCCUGCAAAUGCAGGACGUAAGCAUCUGGGGAAUAUAUCCAAUCAUUCUUGCA